rnacentral:rRNA from 1 species
AGGGAGACAACAAUGCAAACUUAUUGUGAUCUCUUUCGGGUUCUUGAGAGCGGCGUACGGGUGCGGCCCUCGUCUUAACCUGCCUUUAUCUGGGGGAUAGCCUUUCGAAAGGAAGAUUAAUACCCCAUAAUAUACCGGAUGGCAUCAUUCGGUAUUGAAAACUCCGGUGGAUAGAGAUGGGCACGCGCAAGAUUAGAUAGUUGGUGAGGUAACGGCUCACCAAGUCUGCGAUCUUUAGGGGGCCUGAGAGGGUGAUCCCCCACACUGGUACUGAGACACGGACCAAACUCCUACGGGAGGCAGCAGUGAGGAAUAUUGGACAAUGGGUGAGAGCCUGAUCCAGCCAUCCCGCGUGAAGGACGACGGCCCUAUGGGUUGUAAACUUCUUUUGUAUAGGGAUAAACCUACCCUCGUGAGGGUAGCUGAAGGUACUAUACAAAUAAGCACCGGCUAACUCCGUGCCAGCAGCCGCGGUAAUACGGAGGGUGCAAGCGUUAUCCGGAUUUAUUGGGUUUAAAGGGUCCGUAGGCGGAUCUGUAAGUCAGUGGUGAAAUCUCACAGCUUAACUGUGAAACUGCCAUUGAUACUGCAGGUCUUGAGUGUUGUUGAAGUAGCUGGAAAUAAGUAGUGUAGCGGUGAAAUGCAUAGAUUAUUACUUUAAAAACCACCAAUUUGCCAAAGGCA